GGAGCAUUCUUCCUCGACAUGUGCCUCUGUCACUCACGUACAACUACAACACACACACACUCGGGUUUUCACUGUGUCCUCUGUGUUCUUAGGACAAGGCUGGCACACUGCUCUCUGUGAGCACAUUUCUUUUCACCCCGUCUCUCGGGAGCCUGAGAAAAAGACCUGAAGACGCUGCUUAAAUCAGUUGAGGCUUUAGCAGCCAUCGACUGUUUUGGUUUUUGGUGGAAGAAUAGAGUGAAAAGAGUAAGACAGUCCUCAAGUUCCAAAGCUGCAUUUCUUCCGAGAUGGAACCUGUAAAAUUUUGGGUGGUAAAGCUCCUGCUUGUGCUGCUGUGCUCAACCCAGGUUCCGUUCUCUGCUGUAGUAAGUGCCCAAGACUUGAAUGAAUUGGAGGAAAGCCUCCACGUUAGAAAUGCUGAGGAGGUUCUGGCUGAAGAAGCUGAAACAGCCGAGGGUGGUGAUGGCACUGAGGAAGAUGAUGAACAUUUAGAAGAGGAAAAAGAUGAUGAAGACUCAGAUGAUGAUGAGAUAGAGACUGAUGAACAGGUGGAAGAAGAAAAAGAUGAAAAAGAACAGGAGGAUGAGGAGGAGACAGCAGAAGAGGAGGCUGAGGAGGAAGAUGACAAGACUGAUAAGGAAGAGGAAGAUGAUUCUAAGGAGAAGGGGGAUGUUGAGGAAGAGGAAGAAGAAGGUGAGGCUUCUGAUGAGGAAGAUGAGGAUGAUGCAGAAGAGGAAGAAUCAGAAGAAGAAUAUGCAGCAGAGGAGGAUGAAGAGGAGGAGGUGGAUGAAGAUACAGAUGAGAAUGGCGAGGAGGAGGUGGAUGAAGAUGCAGAUGAGAAUGGCGAGGAGGAGGUGGAUGAAGAUGCAGAUGGCGAAGAGGAGGAGGUUCACGAGGAAGUCCCAGCUGGUAAUGAGGAAGAUGACGAGAAGGAAGCAAGAGAAGAGGAUGACGAUAAAGCAACUCAAGGAGAUGAGGAAGAGGAGGGUGACAGUGCUGAAGAGGAUACACAUGAGGAUGACUCUGAAGAUGAAGAUGAUGAGGCUGAAGGUAAAGACACAAAGGACAACCAAGGUGACUCAGAUGAAGAGGAGGGAGCUGCUGACACUCCACAGUUCCACUCUGGCUCUUUGUGUAGUGUUUGCUCCAUUUGUGAGCAUUGCUCUAAUGACUGUGCCAAGUGCCCGUGUGAGGAAGGAGAUGAGUCUGAUCACUGCGAGCACUGCCAAGGUUGCUCAACCUGCUACAUUUGUCCCAUUCUUUGUGACACAGUUUGCACACCUGGUAAGUGCUAG
rnacentral:lncRNA from 1 species